UACGUAGGGUGCAAGCGUUAAUCGGAAUUACUGGGCGUAAAGCGUGCGCAGGCGGUGAUGGAAGACAGAUGUGAAAUCCCCGGGCUCAACCUGGGACCUGCAUUUGUGACUGCAUCGCUAGAGUACGGUAGAGGGGGAUGGAAUUCCGCGUGUAGCAGUGAAAUGCGUAGAUAUGCGGAGGAACACCGAUGGCGAAGGCAAUCCCCUGGACCUGUACUGACGCUCAUGCACGAAAGCGUGGGGAGCAAACAGG
rnacentral:rRNA from 1 species